rnacentral:rRNA from 1 species
GACGAACGCUGGCGGCGUGCCUAACACAUGCAAGUCGAACGGAACUUCUUUAAAGGAUUUCUUCGGAAUGAAUUUGAUUAAGUUUAGUGGCGGACGGGUGAGUAACGCGUGAGUAACCUGCCUCUGAGAGGGGAAUAACAUUCUGAAAAGAAUGCUAAUACCACAUAACAUAUAUUUAUCGCAUGGUAGAUAUAUCAAAGAUUUAUCGCUUAGAGAUGGACUCGCGUCCGAUUAGUUAGUUGGUGAGGUAACGGCUCACCAAGACUGCGAUCGGUAGCCGGACUGAGAGGUUGAACGGCCACAUUGGGACUGAGACACGGCCCAGACUCCUACGGGAGGCAGCAGUGGGGGAUAUUGCACAAUGGGGGAAACCCUGAUGCAGCGACGCCGCGUGGAGGAAGAAGGUCUUCGGAUUGUAAACUCCUGUUGUUGAGGAAGAUAAUGACGGUACUCAACAAGGAAGUGACGGCUAACUACGUG